rnacentral:lncRNA from 1 species
CGAGGAGCGGAGGGUGCAGAUCCCACCCGGGUCUGAGGAGCUGAGACCCAGGAGCACGGGCGGCAGAAGACGGAUGUCACCGGCCCGUCAGCCAGACAGGUGGAGUGAACCUAGUUUUCCCCGCCUUGCUGUUUCACUCGAGCCCUGGGUGGAUAGGGUGGUGUCUCCCACACUGGCGAGAGUGGGUCUCCACUCAGUCCAGAGGCAAACAUGCAUCUCACACAGAAAUAAUGCAGAACCAGCCAUCUGGGCACCCCGGGCACGCUCAAGUCGAUGCACAAAACCAACGCCGCGCGUGGCCCUGACGUCUGCGUGUUCGCAUCACUCCACGCGCAUUGCUCGGUCCAUCGCCUGGUGCCCAGGAGGCUGAUGCCACAUAGAAGACCUGCAGGUCGGUGAACGUGAACAGGCAUCGGACACGCUGUGCACCUUGGUAUGCAUCUGAGAAGUGCGUGCUUG